rnacentral:rRNA from 1 species
CUGAUGAAGUUUUCGAAUGGAUUCGGUUGAGGAAAGUGGCGAACGGGCGAGUAACGCGUGAGCAACCUACCUUGUACUGGGGGAUAACGUCGGGAAACCGGCGCUAAUACCGCAUAACAUUACGAUAGCGCAUGUUAUUGUAAUCAAAGCUUUAGUGGUACGAGAUGGGCUCGCGUCCAAUUAGCUAGUUGGUGAGGUAAAGGCUCACCAUAGCAAUGAUGUCUAGGGGUUUUGAGAGGAAGGCCCCCCCACACUGGGACUGAGACACGGCCCAGACUCC